UACGGAGGGUGCAAGCGUUAUCCGGAUUCACUGGGUUUAAAGGGUGCGUAGGCGGGCUGGUAAGUCAGUGGUGAAAUCUCCAAGCUUAACUUGGAAACUGCCGUUGAUACUAUCUGUCUUGAAUAUUGUGGAGGUGAGCGGAAUAUGUCAUGUAGCGGUGAAAUGCUUAGAUAUGACAUAGAACACCAAUUGCGAAGGCAGCUCGCUACACAUAUAUUGACUCUGAGGCACGAAAGCGUGGGGAUCAAACAGG
rnacentral:rRNA from 1 species